CAUGCCAACAAGAACCAGCAGGAGAGAUGGGGUUUCACUAUGUUGACCAGGCUGGUCUGGAACUCUUGACCUCAUGAACCACCUGCCUUGGCCAAAGAUUCAAGUCAGUGCAAUAAAAAAAGUACAUUUCUGAUCACAUCUCCAUUUCUUCAACAUUUACAUAUUUAUAUUUCCAAGAUACUCCAUACAGCAUGAAUCCACGAAGAAUUAGGCUUCGACUAAGAUUCUUUCUACAUUGAUCUCGAGUUUAGCAAAGGGAGCCUAUGAAUGAGCUGCCUUCCCUGAUGUCAGCACUGAAACUCGAGAAACAAGUUUCUCUGAAAUCUCUGGAUCAUCUUACAUUCUGGCGAGUUCUACCUUCUGUUAAUGAAGGUAGUCGUCUCUUUCCAACUAGAUGAACACUGUCAUCACCUCCAGGAUCUCUGGUGUUACCCACAUUAACUUCUUCAAUAACCACACCCACUGCCUCCCCAGUCUCUCUCCUGUCCCAGAUUUGCUUUAGCCCCAACAUGCAAAGGGAGAAUUUGAGCAAAAAGACUUCAAGGCAUCUUGCAGAGGUGGUAGGCCUCUAUAUAAGACUUUAAACUCCUACAGAUGUGGAUUUGGAUCAGCAUGAUCUGAUUAUUCUGGCUAUUGACUCCUCAUCGGUCUACAUGGUGGCCAUACAUUCUGGAUAUAGCCAGGGUCACCCUGCUCCUGUGAGGAGGGGACGCCAGAAGCAGGAAUCUCGCCUGGGAGGUUCCCACCCUCUGAUAAAACGCACACAGCUGCACCAAGGACGUCUGGGAAAACAGGCAAGUCUGUAAGCGCUUGCUCUUGAAGCAAUUCCCGAUUCUUCCGCCCUGAAUAACUCAUCAUGUCGGAGGUUGCCAAGAACCGUCGGUCAACGAAGGUGUGGGCCAGCUGUCACAGGACAGAGGUGAGCUGGGCUGAGGAUGGCGAGCUGGACUGAGGAUGGUGGGCAGGAGGCCGGCUGCGGGGGAGGAGGAACUCCCAGGUGAGUACCUGGUGCGCAUGACGGGGAAGAUACUAUCACCACUCCUCUCGGAAACUCCUCCCAUGCCCCUAAUUCUUCAACCCCUCUUCCUAGAUUUCUGCAGAGCCCUCAAACCCCACCCAUCUCCACAUCUGGAAUUUAGGGACAUGCUACCCACUACCUACUCUUGACUUUAUAGGAGUACGGGGAAGCUUUUCAGCGGUUAUGUAAUUGUGCCUCAUUUUAAAAGUGAAAAAUAUUAACACAGUGCUCAAGUGAAUGGAUCUGGGGCCGGAUUGCCCGGGUUCAAAGCCCAGCUCCACCACAUUGCUCAGUCUUCCCCUCGCUUUCCUAUUCUAUGAAAUGGAAGUCAUAAUAGUAGCUAUGCUUGGCUUUAUUUUAAAGGUUAAAUGAAGGAAGACAUACAAAGUACUUAGAACAAGUCCUGUUAUAUAGUAACUACUAUACAAGUAUUGUCAGUAUUUUUUUUUUGAGACGGAGUCUCGCAGUGUUGCCCGGGCAACACUAUGAAGGAGAGAAACACUAUGAAUGUAAUGAAUUUGGAAAAUUUAGCAAGAAAUCAAACUUUACCCAACAUCAAAGAAUGUACACAGGAGAAAAACCUGAUGAGUGUAAAGAAAAUGAGAAAGCCUUGAAGAAGUUAUACCAUACUCAAAAUGAGAGAACUCAUGCAGGAGAGAAAGUCUAUGAUUGUAAGAAAUGUGGGAAAUUCUUUCAUGAAAAAGCAUGCCUUACUCAACAUCAGAGAACCCACACAACAGGAAAACCCAGCAAGUGUAAUGAUAGUGAAAGAGUCUUGAAGGAAUCUUGCCUCACUCCCAAUCAGAGAAUUAAAACAAGAUUAAAACAAGAGAGAAAAACUGUAAAGGUAAUAAAUGUGAGAAACCUUUCUUUGAGAAGUUGAAACACACUCAACAUCAGAGAAGGCACUUGGGGAAAAAAAAUAAUGGGCGUAAUGAAAGUGGGGUGCCUCAAGUAGGAAGUCACAACUUACACAA
ensembl:lncRNA novel transcript